UAGUAUUAUUCAGCAUUAAUUUCGUACAGUGUAUUCAGAUAAAUGUAUUUUGCAUAAAAAAAUACAUAUAUCUGAUAUCAAAUAUGCACUGAUACAUUCAUCAAAUAAAUCUAGAUAUACUAGAUACAUCAAUUAAGUCUGUAUGUUGUGUAUCUAUGCAUAAAUCAUAGUUAGAAGAAGAUAAAGAAGAAAAAGCAGAAGAAACUUCAGGGAAUCACCACUGCAUAGAGAUACACAAAUACACAUGUAUUUGCACAAAGUUUUGCAUUCAUCUGUGGUGGAUACAUAAAUAGGUAUACAUGGAUAUAUAAGUACACAUCUUCUUAAUUACUCGACUCCACUACUUCUCUUUAUGCUUCUCCGUUGAUAUGUGGAGUUUUCUAAUUUGAGAAAAUUUUGAAGAUCUAAAUCUGAAUGUAUUUACUAAUUCUGAAACAUGUAAUUUCAUUGAUGGAUCCAAAGCUUUUUAAAUCUGAAAUUUUCUCUAUCAAUUUUUUUCCAAGAAGAUCGAUAAGAACUCCAAUCACGACACAGAUCUGUAAUUCAUCAUUGAUGAGUACAAACCCCGGCGACAAUCUACAUUUGGUAGGAAAUGGUCGACUCAAAUCCAAUACUAUCAUCGUCCUCAUUCAUGAAGACAACGGAGACACCAUUGUAGCCCGAAAGAAUCAUCGAUGAGAAUUCACCACUAUUGUCCGAUUGCCUAGAGUUUUGGGAAGAGACUUUUUUUUGAAGGGGAAAAGGGCAGAGGGCGAGAGAAAGAUGGAGGGGAGGUGAGGUUGAAAAUCAUGAAGGAGAAAGGCGAGGUUUACGUUGUGUAUCUAGGGAGUUUGCUACGAAAUACCAAAAGUCUAUACAAUUGUGUAAUUAAUUUAAACUUAUGUAUGAUUAGAU
rnacentral:lncRNA from 1 species